rnacentral:rRNA from 1 species
GACGUAGGGCGCGAGCGUUGUCCGGAUUUAUUGGGCGUAAAGAGCUCGUAGGCGGCUCAUUGCGUCAACCGUGAAAACCUGCCGCUCAACGGUAGGCUUGCGGUUGAUACGGGUGGGCUGGAGUUCGGUAGGGGAGACUGGAAUUCCUGGUGUAGCGGUGAAAUGCGCAGAUAUCAGGAGGAACACCGGUGGCGAAGGCGGGUCUCUGGGCCGAUACUGACGCUGAGGAGCGAAAGCGUGGGGAGCGAACGGG